UUGUUCUUAUCGAUACCAGGCUGGCAGCUCUUUGAGAUACUUGGCAGAUGCAGGUUAUUUGUAUCAAAAGGUUAACAGCCAGUUUAUUGCAAAUUCAGUAUCACCAUUAUCAGAAAAGCUUUGUUGAUCUUAUCUUUGCACUUUUGUGAAUUUUUCCGUUUGGAUCGUUGUUUCUUAAAAAAGAAGGCUUCAAUGCAGCUCAAACGACGUGAUACGCAGAGCCAAAUAUCUGCUCGUAGAAAGGAAGCGAUGUUGUUAUCGCGACGUAUGAGAAGACAAAAUUUUGCAAAGCACAACCUUCUUGAAAGUCUGAUUGUUGCUGUCCCAGAGCAGGCAACAUCAUCUUGGGACAAAACAGGAUUUCUAAAACAAACUGCUCUUACCAUACGAGAACCUCCUUCCCUUGCGGAAAAAGGUACCAACCAUCAAGCUUGCCUGACUAUAUUGCGUGAUAAUUUAUAAAAAGGAAAGGGUAUAUUGGAUACCCCUAUCAUUUGUG